rnacentral:rRNA from 1 species
AAUGAACGCUGGCGGCGUGCUUAACACAUGCAAGUCGAGCGAGAAAAGGGGGGCAACUCCCUGAGUAAAGCGGCGGACGGGUGAGUAACGCGUGGGUGACCUGCCCAGAUGUGGGGAAUACCUCGCCGAAAGGCGAGUUAAUACCGCAUAAUCUCUUUGGAGGAAAGCGAGGGACCGCAAGGCCUCGCGCAUCUGGAGGGGCCCGCGUCCGAUUAGCUAGUUGGUGGGGUAAUGGCCUACCAAGGCGACGAUCGGUAGCCGGCCUGAGAGGGUGAUCGGCCACACUGGAACUGAGACACGGUCCAGACUCCUACGGGAGGCAGCAGUGGGGAAUUUUGCGCAAUGGGCGAAAGCCUGACGCAGCAACGCCGCGUGGAGGAUGAAGGCCCUUGGGUUGUAAACUCCUGUCGAGCGGGAAGAAUCGCGUGAGCGUUAAUAGCGCUCGCGUUUGACUGUACCGCGAGAGGAAGCCCCGGCUAACUCUGUGCCAGCCGCCGCGGUAAAAC